AUUGAACGCUGGCGGCAGGCCUAACACAUGCAAGUCGAACGAGUGCCGGACGGGUCAGUAAUGUCUGGGAAACUGCCUGAUGGAGGGGGAUAACUACUGGAAACGGUAGCUAAUACCGCAUACCAUCGGAUGUGCCCAUAUGGGAUUAGCUAGUAGGUGGGGUACAGGCUCACCUAGGCGACGAUCCCUAGCUGUUCUGAGAGGAUGACCAGCCACACUGGAACUGGGACAGGGUCCAGACUCCUACGUGAGGCAGCAGUGGGGAAUAUUGCACAGUGAGGGCAAGCCUGAUGCGGCAGGGCAGCGUGGAUGAAGUAGGCCUUCGGGUUGUAAAGUACUGGCAGCGGGGAGGCGUUACCCGCAGAAGAGGCACCGGCUAACUCCGUGCCAGCAGCCGCGGUAAUAC
rnacentral:rRNA from 1 species